rnacentral:tRNA from 2 species
GCCGACGUAGCUCAGCUGGUAGAGCGGUCGAUUCGUAAUCGACAGGUCAGCGGUUCAAUCCCGCUCGUCGGCUCCA